rnacentral:lncRNA from 1 species
GAACCGUAGUGAGCAGGACAAUGGUGUAAGAACCAAAGUGAAUGCAUGUAAACUGUGUAAGAACCAAAGUGAAUGAAUGAAAACAGUUUAAGAACCAAAGUGAAUGAAUGACAAUGGUGUAAGAACCAAAGUGAAUGCAUGACACCAGUGUAAGAAUCGAAGUGAAUGAAUGACAACUAUGUAAGAACCAAAGUGAAUGAAUGACAACAAUGUAAGAACCAAAGUGAAUGAAUGACAACAUUGUAAGAACCAGACUGAAUGAAUCACAAUGGUGUAAGAACCGAAGUGAUAAUGACAAUGGUGUAAGAACCAAUGUGAACAAUAGUGUAAGAUCCGGAAGUAACCAAACAAUAGUAUAUCAUGGUACUUGUAUACUUAGGGAGAGAUCCCUAUUGGGACUUC